rnacentral:rRNA from 1 species
UGGGGAAUUUUGGACAAUGGGCGAAAGCCUGAUCCAGCAAUGCCGCGUGUGUGAAGAAGGCCUUCGGGUUGUAAAGCACUUUUGUCCGGAAAGAAAUCCUUGGCUCUAAUACAGUCGGGGGAUGACGGUACCGGAAGAAUAAGCACCGGCUAACUACGUGCCAGCAGCCGCGGUAAUACGUAGGGUGCAAGCGUUAAUCGGAAUUACUGGGCGUAAAGCGUGCGCAGGCGGUUUGCUAAGACCGAUGUGAAAUCCCCGGGCUCAACCUGGGAACUGCAUUGGUGACUGGCAGGCUAGAGUAUGGCAGAGGGGGGUAGAAUUCCACGUGUAGCAGUGAAAUGCGUAGAGAUGUGGAGGAAUGCCGAUGGCGAAGGCAGCCCCCUGGGCCAAUACUGACGCUCAUGCACGAAAGCGUGGGGAGCAAACAGGAUUAGAUACCCUGGUAGUCCACGCCCUAAACGAUGUCAACUAGCUGUUGGGGCCUUCGGGCCUUGGUAGCGCAGCUAACGCGUGAAGUUGACCGCCUGGGGAGUACGGUC